UAGAAUCUAGAGUAUUGGUAGCAUGAAGAAUUUUGAAUUCUUAAGAGUAGGUUCAAUUCUUAUGGCUCUAA
rnacentral:tRNA from 1 species